GAAAUGCGAUAAGUAAUGUGAAUUGCAGAAUUCCGUGAAUCAUUAAAUCUUUGAACGCACAUUGCGCCCUCUGGUAUUCCUAAGGGCAUGCCUGUUUGAGAAUCAGUUUAAUCAUCAAUUCUAUUGGGGUUCUUGCAUGAGUUAUUUAUAAUUUGUGUAAGCCAGUAGCGUUGGAUCUGGGACUAGUUUGUAAAGACUGUCUCUAAUAGCAUCUGUUGCGACUCUAUAGGAAGACUAUAUGAAAAGCAUGACCAUUGAACGCAAGUUCUUAUGAUUGCCCGUAGUAUCUUUAACCUGUAGCCUAGUACAAAAUUAAACACGAAGGCCUUAAAACCUUUAAGACUUGAUCUCAAAUCAGACAAGACUACCCGCUGAACUUAA
rnacentral:misc_RNA from 1 species